AGUGGCGAACGGGUGAGUAACACGUGGGUGAUCUGCCCUGCACUUCGGGAUAAGCCUGGGAAACUGGGUCUAAUACCGGAUAGGAGCCAUUUUUAGUGUGAUGGUUGGAAAGUUUUUUCGGUGUAGGAUGAGCUCGCGGCCUAUCAGCUUGUUGGUGGGGUAAUGGCCUACCAAGGCGGCGACGGGUAGCCGGCCUGAGAGGGUGGACGGCCACAUUGGGACUGAGAUACGGCCCAGACUCCUACGGGAGGCAGCAGUGGGGAAUAUUGCACAAUGGGCGCAAGCCUGAUGCAGCGACGCCGCGUGGGGGAUGACGGCCUUCGGGUUGUAAACUCCUUUCGCUAGGGACGAAGCUUUUUGUGACGGUACCUAGAUAAGAAGCACCGGCUAACUACGUGCCAGCAGCCGCGGUAAUACGUAGGGUGCGAGCGUUGUCCGGAAUUACUGGGCGUAAAGGGCUCGUAGGUGGUUUGUCGCGUCGUCUGUGAAAUUCCGGGGCUUAACUCCGGGCGUGCAGGCGAUACGGGCAUAACUUGUGUACUGUAGGGGUAACUGGAAUUCCUGGUGUAGCGGUGAAAUGCGCAGAUAUCAGGAGGAACACCGAUGGCGAAGGCAG
rnacentral:rRNA from 1 species